GAUGAACGCUAGCGGCAGGCCUAAUACAUGCAAGACGAACGGUAAGUUGAGUAGCAAUACUUAGCCAAGAGUGUCGUACGGGUGCGUAACACGUAUGCAACCUACCCUAUACAGGAGGAUAGCCUAGGGAAACCUGGAUUAAACCCUUCAUAGUAUUAUUGGAUGGCAUCAUUUGAUAAUUAAAACUGAGGUGGUAUAGGAUGGGCAUGCGUCUGAUUAGUUAGUUGGCGGGGUAAUGGCCCACCAAGACGAUGAUCAGUAGGGGUUCUGAGAGGAAGAUCCCCCACACUGGCACUGAGAUACGGGCCAGACUCCUACGGGAGGCAGCAGUAGGGAAUAUUGGUCAAUGGAUGCAAGUCUGAACCAGCCAUGCCGCGUGCAGGAAGAAGGCCUUCUGGGUUGUAAACUGCUUUUGCCAGGGGAUAAAAUUUCCAUGCGUGGAAAACUGAAGGUACCUGGUGAAUAAGCCACGGCUAACUAACGUGCCAGCAGCCGCGGUAAU
rnacentral:rRNA from 1 species